CCUACGGGAGGCAGCAGUGGGGAAUUUUGGACAAUGGGCGCAAGCCUGAUCCAGCUAAUCCGCGUGUGGGAUGACGGCCCUCGGGUUGUAAACCACUUUAGUAGAGAACGAAAAGGAGCUAUCGAAUAAAUAGCUCUGCUGACGGUACUCUAAGAAUAAGCAUCGGCCAACUACGUGCCAGCAGCCGCGGUAAUGCGUAGGGUCCGAGCGUUAAUCGGAAUUACUGGGCGUAAAGGGUGUGCAGGCGGCUGAGUAAGACAGAUGUUAAAUCGCGGGGCUUAACCUUGGAACCGCAUAUGUGACUGGGAGACUAGAGGAAUGGAGGGGGAACCGGAAUUCGCGGUGUAGCAGUGAAAUGCGGAGAUAUCGAGAGGAACACU
rnacentral:rRNA from 1 species